rnacentral:antisense_RNA from 1 species
AAUGACCGAAUAUAACACCUGGACCCGCUGUGAGAUUCGUAAUUUCCCUUACAUCCCCACCACCGGGAGCCCAGGUAUCAUAUGCACCUCCGGAAUACGGAGCUUUGGACACCGAUAGAAGGGCACCAAUACCCAGCAGGAUCGGGUGAAUACCUGGAAUGGUGGUCAUUUUGUUCCUAUCCCUCCG